CAGAGAAGAGGAACACUCAAGCACCUGGGUCUCCUUUGGUUACCUUGACUCAGAUAUCAGGGGGUUUCUCCUUCUUCAAUCCUCAGCCUGACAACCCACAAAGUGUCAAAAACUUUCUGGAAGUGGAGCCAGCUGAUCCAUGUGAAUGAUGGCUUCAGUUUGUCACAUAGACUGUGCAAUUAGAUAUAUUAUGAGCAUGAAAGACAAUGAAGAACUCCAAUGGAUGAAUCUAUUCUCACAGAAACCCCCUUGGACUGACACCAAAAGGUGGCUGGAGGAGUGUGUCCCUGGAGGUGUGCCUUUGGGAUUUGUAACCUGUCCUUGUUGAGCAGAGCACUCCCUCUCCUUUCUGGUACCCUGUUCCCAGUCGCUUUCCUCUGCCACACUCUUCCAUCAAGAUGUUCUGCCUUACCUGGAGCCCCAAAGAAUGGAGCUGGUCUUCUGUAGA